GCAGUAACUAAAAGGGCAACCAGCUCCAUUUGCAUACCUCAAAUGCCCUUCAAUCACCCACAAAUAUGUGACUUAUUCUUUAAAAUCUGAUAUCCAAAAGAAAAUCAUGUUAAGAAUAGGACAGUUUUCUUUACAUCAAGAAAAUGACCAAUAAUUGAAAAUAUGCCUUUUAUGACAGAAGACAGAAGAAUUUUUUAAUCCCAAUUUUGAAUCCCAGAUCUGCUACUGCUACCUGUGU